GUGGGGAAUAUUGGGCAAUGGGCGCAAGCCUGACCCAGCAACGCCGCGUGAAGGAAGAAGGCUUUCGGGUUGUAAACUUCUUUUACCAGGGACGAAACAAAUGACGGUACCUGGUGAAUAAGCCACGGCUAACUACGUGCCAGCAGCCGCGGUAAUACGUAGGUGGCGAGCGUUAUCCGGAUUUAUUGGGUGUAAAGGGCGUGCAGGCGGGACAGCAAGUCAGAUGUGAAAACCAGAGGCUCAACCUCUGGCCUGCAUUUGAAACUGUUGUUCUUGAGUGUCGGAGAGGUAAUCGGAAUUCCGUGUGUAGCGGUGAAAUGCGUAGAUAUACGGAGGAACACCAGUGGCGAAGGCGGAUUACUGGACGAUAACUGACGCUGAGGCGCGAAAGCGUGGGGAGCAAACAGGAUUAGAUACCCCUGUAGUCC
rnacentral:rRNA from 1 species